rnacentral:rRNA from 1 species
UACGAAGGGUGCAAGCGUUACUCGGAAUUACUGGGCGUAAAGGGUGCGUAGGUGGUUGCGUAAGUCAGAUGUGAAAGCCCCGGGCUCAACCUGGGAAUUGCAUUUGAGACUGCGUAGCUAGGGUGCGGAAGAGGGAAGCGGAAUUUCCGGUGUAGCGGUGAAAUGCGUAGAUAUCGGAAGGAACACCAGUGGCGAAAGCGGCUUCCUGGUCCAGCACCGACGUUCAGGCACGAAAGCGUGGGGAGCAAACAGG